rnacentral:rRNA from 1 species
AUUGAACGCUGGCGGCAUGCUUUACACAUGCAAGUCGAACGGUAACAGGCCGCAAGGUGCUGACGAGUGGCGAACGGGUGAGUAAUGCAUCGGAACGUGCCUAGUCGUGGGGGAUAACGCAGCGAAAGCUGUGCUAAUACCGCAUACGAUCUAUGGAUGAAAGCGGGGGACCGUAAGGCCUCGCGCGAUUGGAGCGGCCGAUGUCAGAUUAGGUAGUUGGUGGGGUAAAGGCUCACCAAGCCAACGAGCUGUAGCUGGUCUGAGAGGACGACCACCCACACUGGGACUGAGACACGGCCCAGACUCCUACGGGAGGCAGCAGUGGGGAAUUUUGGACAAUGGGCGCAAGCCUGAUCCAGCAAUGCCGCGUGCAGGAAGAAGGCCUUCGGGUUGUAAACUGCUUUUGUACGGAACGAAACGGUCUGGGUUAAUACCCUGGGCUAAUGACGGUACCGUAAGAAUAAGCACCGGCUAACUACGUGCCAGCCGCCGCCGUAAUAC